rnacentral:rRNA from 1 species
CUUGCGCUUUGGGAGCGGCCGAUGUCUGAUUAGCUAGUUGGUGGGGUAAAGGCCUACCAAGGCGACGAUCAGUAGUUGGUCUGAGAGGACGACCAGCCACACUGGGACUGAGACACGGCCCAGACUCCUACGGGAGGCAGCAGUGGGGAAUUUUGGACAAUGGGCGCAAGCCUGAUCCAGCAAUGCCGCGUGAGUGAAGAAGGCCUUCGGGUUGUAAAGCUCUUUCAGUCGAGAAGAAAAAGCUGCAGUGAAUAACUGUAGUUCAUGACGGUAUCGACAGAAGAAGCACCGGCUAACUACGUGCCAGCAGCCGCGGUAAUACGUAGGGUGCGAGCGUUAAUCGGAAUUACUGGGCGUAAAGGGUGCGCAGGCGGCUUUGUAAGUCAGAUGUGAAAUCCCCGGGCUUAACCUGGGAAUUGCGUUUGAAACUACAAAGCUAGA